GAAGUUGGGGGCAAUAACAGGUCUGUGAUGCCCUUAGAUGUCCUGGGCCGCACGCGCGCUACACUGAUGCAUGCAACGAGUUUUUUUUCCUGGGUCGAGAGGCCCGGGUAAUCUGUUGAACGUGCAUCGUGAUAGGGAUAGAUCAUUGCAAUUAUUGAUCUUGAACGAGGAAUUCCUAGUAAACGCGAGUCAUCAGCUCGCAUUGAUUACGUCCCUGCCCUUUGUACACACCGCCCGUCGCACCUACCGAUUGAAUCAUUCGGUGAGGAUUCCGGAUUCUGUAGCUUACGCUUUACGGCGUUUUUUACGAAAGAAGUUAUCCAAACCUCAUGAUUUAGAGGAAGGUGAAGUCGUAACAAGGUUUCCGUAGGUGAACCUGCGGAAGGAUCAUUAC
rnacentral:rRNA from 1 species